AUUGAACGCUGGCGGCAUGCUUUACACAUGCAAGUCGAACGGUAACAGGGUGCUUGCACCGCUGACGAGUGGCGAACGGGUGAGUAAUGCGUCGGAACGUGCCGAGUAGUGGGGGAUAACGCAUCGAAAGGUGUGCUAAUACCGCAUACGUACUGAGGUAGAAAGUGGGGGACCUUCGGGCCUCACGCUAUUCGAGCGGCCGACGUCUGAUUAGCUAGUUGGUGAGGUAAAGGCUCACCAAGGCGACGAUCAGUAGCGGGUCUGAGAGGAUGAUCCGCCACACUGGGACUGAGACACGGCCCAGACUCCUACGGGAGGCAGCAGUGGGGAAUUUUGGACAAUGGGCGCAAGCCUGAUCCAGCCAUGCCGCGUGUCUGAAGAAGGCCUUCGGGUUGUAAAGGACUUUUGUCCGGGAGCAAAUACCCAGUGCUAAUAACGCUGGGGGCUGAGAGUACCGGAAGAAUAAGCACCGGCUAACUACGUGCCAGCAGCCGCCGUAA
rnacentral:rRNA from 1 species